CUCGCAGGCGGUUCGUCGCGUCCGGUGUGAAAGUCCAUCGCUUAACGGUGGAUCCGCGCCGGGUACGGGCGGGCUUGAGUGCGGUAGGGGAGACUGGAAUUCCCGGUGUAACGGUGGAAUGUGUAGAUAUCGGGAAGAACACCAAUGGCGAAGGCAGGUCUCUGGGCCGUUACUGACGCUGAGGAGCGAAAGCGUGGGGAGCGAACA
rnacentral:rRNA from 1 species